GGGUACACGAGUGGCGAACGGGUGAGUAACACGUGGGUGAUCUGCCCUGCACUCUGGGAUAAGCCUGGGAAACUGGGUCUAAUACCGGAUAUGAGCUCCUGUCGCAUGGCGGGGGUUGGAAAGGUUUACUGGUGCAGGAUGGGCCCGCGGCCUAUCAGCUUGUUGGGGGGGUAAUGGCCGACCAAGGCGACGACGGGUAGCCGGCCUGAGAGGGGGAGCGGGCGCACUGGGACUGAGACACGGCCCAUACUCCUACGGGAGGCAGCAGUGGGGAAUAUUGCACAAUGGGCGAAAGCCUGAUGCAGCGACGCCGCGUGAGGGAUGACGGCCUUCGGGUUGUAAACCUCUUUCAGCAGGGACGAAGCGAGAGUGACGGUACCUGCAGAAGAAGCACCGGCCAACUACGUGCCAGCAGCCGCGGUAAUACGUAGGGUGCGAGCGUUGUCCGGAAUUACUGGGCGUAAAGAGCUCGUAGGCGGUUUGUCGCGUCGUCCGUGAAAACUUGGGGCUCAACCCCAAGCUUGCGGGCGAUACGGGCAGACUUGAGUACUGCAGGGGAGACUGGAAUUCCUGGUGUAGCGGUGAAAUGCGCAGAUAUCAGGAGGAACACCGGUGGCGAAGGCGGGUCUCUGGGCAGUAACUGACGCUGAGGAGCGAAAGCGUGGGUAGCGAACAGGAUUAGAUACCCUGGUAGUCCACGCCGUAAACGGUGGGCGCUAGGUGUGGGUUUCCUUCCACGGGAUCCGUGCCGUAGCUAACGCAUUAAGCGCCCCGCCUGGGGAGUACGGCCGCAAGGCUAAAACUCAAAGGAAUUGACGGGGGCCCGCACAAGCGGCGGAGCAUGUGGAUUAAUUCGAUGCAACGCGAAGAACCUUACCUGGGUUUGACAUAUACCGGAAAGCCGUAGAGAUACGGCCCCCCUUGUGGUCGGUAUACAGGUGGUGCAUGGCUGUCGUCAGCUCGUGUCGUGAGAUGUUGGGUUAAGUCCCGCAACGAGCGCAACCCUUGUCCUGUGUUGCCAGCGCGUAAUGGCGGGGACUCGCAGGAGACUGCCGGGGUCAACUCGGAGGAAGGUGGGGACGACGUCAAGUCAUCAUGCCCCUUAUGUCCAGGGCUUCACACAUGCUACAAUGGCCGGUACAGAGGGCUGCGAUACCGUGAGGUGGAGCGAAUCCCUUAAAGCCGGUCUCAGUUCGGAUCGGGGUCUGCAACUCGACCCCGUGAAGUCGGAGUCGCUAGUAAUCGCAGAUCAGCAACGCUGCGGUGAAUACGUUCCCGGGCCUUGUACACACCGCCCGUCACGUCAUGAAAGUCGGU
rnacentral:rRNA from 2 species